rnacentral:siRNA from 1 species
CGUUUCUCUGUCGCUGGAUCCAG